UACGUAGGGGGCAAGCGUUGUCCGGAAUCAUUGGGCGUAAAGCGCGUGUAGGCGGCUCGGUAAGUCAGCUGUGAAAGUCCAGGGCUCAACCCUGGAAUGCCGGUUGAUACUGUCGAGCUCGAGUCCGGAAGAGGUGAGUGGAAUUCCUGGUGUAGCGGUGAAAUGCGCAGAUAUCAGGAGGAACACCCGUGGUGUAGACGGCCUGCUGGACGGUCACUGACGCUGAGGCACGAAAGCGUGGGGAGCAAACAGG
rnacentral:rRNA from 1 species